GUACUUCAUAAUUGUAAGUCGCUUUGGACAAAAGCGUCUGCCAAAUGAAAUGUA
rfam:Astyanax mexicanus chromosome 10, whole genome shotgun sequence.